rnacentral:rRNA from 1 species
ACGGAGGGUGCGAGCGUUAAUCGGAAUUACUGGGCGUAAAGCGUGCGUAGGCGGAUGGGUCAGUCCUCCGUGAAAGCCCCGGGCUUAACCUGGGAACGGCGGUUGAGACGGCCCGUCUUGAGUGGGCUAGAGGAUCGUGGAACUCCCGGUGUAGCGGUGAAAUGCGUAUAGAUCGGGAAGAACACCGAUGGCGAAGGCAGCGAUCUGGGGCCACACUGACCCUUAUGCACGACGGCUUGUGUAGCAUACAGGAUUAGUUUCCUGGUACUCCACGCGGUUAACGUUGAGCCCUACACGU